CAUUAGGACUGUUUAAAUUCUUGUGCUUUAAAGAUGACCCAUGUCUAAUAAGUUAUAGUCGAGGCAGCCAUUCUGCUUUAUCAUCUGCUGUUAGUUUACAGCUCUUCCAAACAAGCAUCAAGUUCCCCUGCUGAAAUCCCAGACCACUGAACAAACCUGGCUCUUGUGCCAUCGCAGCUUCCAUAAAUGUAAUGGUCAGCACACUGAUGAUAAAAGCCCUGUUCCUUAUUGACUACUGACAGAAGAUGCACAGUGUCUGCACAAGUGCUUGUUUUACCAGUUACCUAAGCACUGACAGCUUCUAAUCUGCCCAACUCAAAGGUAUGAUUCAGUUCAAGAAACUGUCUGUUUGUUACUGGGGAGCAGAUAGGAAUUUGUUGCUGGCACAAAAUGUUGCUUCGUGCAGAUGAUGAAUAAAACCAUGACAAGCCAUUGGAAA